AUGGCCUCGCCGGCUCUUCUCCGCUACCUGGUUGUGCUACUCCUCCUAGUCGGCUGCCCCGGGUGGCCCGUCCCACCUUCUCCAGCGUCGUCCUCCUCGCCGCCGAGGACGGUCGAUGGCAUCACGGCCAUAUACAACUUCGGGGACUCCAUAUCGGAUACCGGGAACUUCAUCCGGGAAGGCGCCGUCGGGCUGAUGGAGCACACCGGGAAGCUCCCCUACGGCUCCGCCAUCGGCGGCCCCACCGGCCGAUGCUCCGACGGCUACCUCAUGAUCGACUUCCUCGCCCAGGAUCUUGGGCUGCCGUUGCUGAGCCCGUACCUCGACACGGGCGCCGACUUCACGCACGGCGUCAACUUCGCCGUCACGGGCGCCACCGCCCUCGACACGGCGGCCCUCGCCAGGAUAGGGGUCAACAUGACCCACACCAACAGCUCCCUCGCUGUCCAGCUCCAACGCUUCAAGGAUUUCAUGGCCAGCGCCGCCAAAACCCCGUGGGAGGUGCGCGAGAAGCUGGCGAGCUCACUGGUCAUGGUCGGAGAGAUCGGCGGGAACGACUACAACUACGCCUUCGGCAUGAACAGCCCUCAGCCCAACGGCGGCCUCAACAACAUCGGGCGCAUGAUAACCGGCGCGGUGGAGUCGCUGGCCCUCGUCCCGCUGGUCGUCAAGUCCAUCACAGGCGCGGCCAAGGAGCUGCUCGACAUGGGCGCCACGCGGAUGGUGAUCCCGGGCAACUUCCCGCUCGGCUGCGUGCCGAGCUACCUCGAGGCCGUGAACGAGACGGACCGGGUGGCGUACGACGGCAACGGCUGCCUCAUCGGGCUCAACCUCUUCGCACAGAUGCACAACGUGCUGCUGCUGCAGGGCAUCCGGGAGCUGCGCCAGCUCUACCCGUCCGCGACCAUCGCCUACGCCGACUACUUCUCGGCCUACGUGCAGAUGCUGAGGGGCGCGUCCAAGAUGGGCUUCGACGCGGCGGCCGCGACCAAGGCGUGCUGCGGCGCGGGCGGCGGCGCGUACAACUUCGACAUGGACAGGAUCUGCGGAGCGCCGGGGACGGCGGUGUGCGCGAGGCCGGAAGAGCACCUUAGCUGGGACGGCGUCCACCUGACGCAGCAUGCCUACAAGGUCAUGACCGAGCUGCUCUACCACCGAGGCCUCGCGUCUCCUGCGCCGGUGAAUUUCCCGCGCAUGUAG
rnacentral:rRNA from 1 species